GUGCCUGUAGCUCAGUGGAUAGGGCGUGAAUUUCCUAAGUUGAAGGUCGCAAGUUCAACACCUACCUGGCGCG
rfam:Nicotiana attenuata strain TT chromosome 2, whole genome shotgun sequence.